rnacentral:rRNA from 1 species
AUUGAACGCUGGCGGCAGGCCUAACACAUGCCAGUCGAACGAGCGGCGGACGGGUGAGUAAUGUCUGGGAAACUGCCUGAUGGAGGGGGAUAACUACUGGAAACGGUAGCUAAUACCGCAUACCAUCGGAUGUACCCAGAUGGGAUUCGCCAGUAGGUGGGGUAAAGGCUCACCUAGGCGACGCUCCCGAGCCGGUCUGAGAGGAUGACCCGCCACCCUGGAACGGCGACACGGCCCAGACUCCUACGGGAGGCACCAGUGGGGAAUAUUGCACAAUGGGCGCAAGCCUGAUGCAGCCAUGCCGCGUGUAUGAAGAAGGCCUUCGGGUUGUAAAGUACUUUCAGCGGGGAGGCUUUACCCGCAGAAGAAGCACCGGCUAACUCCGUGCCAGCAGCCGCGGUAAUAC